rnacentral:rRNA from 1 species
GGGACGAGAAGACCUAUAGAGCUUGAUAUUUAUAAGUUUUAUAUUAUUUUAGGUUAUCUUUUUAUGUAAUUUUUUAUUAUUUGGUUGGGGUGACAUGAAGAAUAAUUAAACUCUUCAUUAUUAAAUCAUUGAUUUAUGUUCAUUUGAUCCAUAAUUUAUGAUCAUAAGAUUAAGUUACCUUAGGGAUAACAGCGUAAUCAUUUUUGAGAGUUCAUAUCGACAAAAUGGAUUGCGACCUCGAUGUUGGAUUAG